GCUGCUCCAAGGCUUCCCGCCGAUGCCUGCUGCCUCAAGGCACAGCAGUGCUCUAAGGAGAACAGGAAUGGCUGCCUCCUUCCCCGAGCCCCUUUUCCUCCCUCCGGUGCCGUGGUGGUUGAAGAGCCUGGUUUUGUGCUGGAAGAGCCCUUGGUGCGUGCCGGGGGCUUGCCCCGUGAGGCAUACACCGUGCCUUUGUUCAGCAGGCGAGACAGGACGUACCCAGUGCUCUGAUGGCGGCAAGUCACAUCGUGGCAGAGAGACCACAUCGUGGCAGAGAGGCCGCAGCUGGAGAAUGAAUCUUUCAGUGCAGUGUCUCCUGGGAUUUCUCUGGCUCCCCAGCCAUCUGUGGGUCAAUGAGAGACAACCGGUAGCAUCUGGCAGACAUAGUCACAGGAGGAAAGAGAAAGGGACAAUCACAUGUACCAAUACGGCGAUGUGGAUCCUGCAGGAAGACUAAUUAAAGCGAUGUGGAAAAAGAAGAAUACACCAAAGUAGCAUGAACUAUACACUGAUUGUCAACAUUUGUAUCCAGGUGCACAUGAAGUCUUGGUGGUUUUGCUGCACAUGUUAGUGCAGACUGACACCUGUUUGGAGAAGAAUCAGCACGUAGACUUUCAAGGUUACCAACCGGGAGCUUCUGCAUAGGACUGCAUCAUCUUCAACCAGGGCUCCAUUCCUUUGUCUCCUCCUGGCACACUGUACUUAACUCUUGUACUCAAAAAAAAUUGGAAAUGGGGUACAAGGCAGAAAGGUGGGGUGGGAUACCAGCU